GGAGAGGUGGCUGAGCGGCUGAAGGCACUGGUUUCGAAAACCAGCAUGCGCGCAAGUGCAUCGUGGGUUCAAAUCCCACCCUCUCCGCCA
rnacentral:tRNA from 1 species